UACGUAGGGUGCAAGCGUUGUCCGGAAUUAUUGGGCGUAAAGAGCUCGUAGGCGGCUUGUCGCGUCUGCUGUGAAAACCCGGAGCUCAACUCCGGGCCUGCAGUGGGUACGGGCAGGCUAGAGUGCGGUAGGGGAGAUUGGAAUUCCUGGUGUAGCGGUGGAAUGCGCAGAUAUCAGGAGGAACACCGAUGGCGAAGGCAGAUCUCUGGGCCGCUACUGACGCUGAGGAGCGAAAGCAUGGGGAGCGAACAGG
rnacentral:rRNA from 2 species